rnacentral:rRNA from 1 species
UACGGGGGGAGCAAGCGUUGUUCGGAUUUACUGGGCGUAAAGGGCGCGUAGGCGGCCACUGCAAGUCAGUUGUGAAAUCUCCGGGCUUAACCCGGAAAGGUCAACUGAUACUGCAGGGCUAGAGUGCAGAAGGGGCAACUGGAAUUCUUGGUGUAGCGGUGAAAUGCGUAGAUAUCAAGAGGAACACCUGAGGUGAAGACGGGUUGCUGGGCUGACACUGACGCUGAGGCGCGAAAGCUAGGGUAGCAAACGGG